rnacentral:rRNA from 1 species
GAUGAACGCUAGCUACAGGCUUAACACAUGCAAGUCGCAGGGUAACAUGAGGACAGCUUGCUUUCCUUGAUGACGACUGGCGCACGGGUGAGUAACGCGUAUCCAACCUUCCCAUAACUACGGGAUAACCCGUUGAAAGACGGCCUAAUACCGUAUGAUAUCGUUUGCUGACAUCAAAUAACGAUUAAAGGUUUAGCGGUUAUGGAUGGGGAUGCGUCUGAUUAGCUUGUUGGCGGGGUAACGGCCCACCAAGGCGACGAUCAGUAGGGGUUCUGAGAGGAAGGUCCCCCACAUUGGAACUGAGACACGGUCCAAACUCCUACGGGAGGCAGCAGUGAGGAAUAGUGGUCAAUGGGCGAGAGCCUGAACCAGCCAAGUAGCGUGCAGGACGACGGCCCUAUGGGUUGUAAACUGCUUUUAUGUGGGGAUAAAGUGCGUGACGUGUCAUGCAUUGCAGGUACCACAUGAAUAAGGACCGGCUAAUUCCGUG